UCACGAGGCCAUCUGAGGGCAUCUGCAGAAUAUCCCAGCUCUGGAGAAAUGGUCGCUUCAUAUCCGAGGCAUAUGGGCUUUGUGUUCACCCAGAAGGACCUCACUGAGAUCAGGGACAUGCUGCUGGACAACAAGGUGCGAGCGCAGCUGUCCAUGCUGGUGGCAAAGCCCACAUGAAGUCACUGCACCAGCUUGGAGCAGCACAUGGAUCCAAAGAAGUCCUCUUCUUCCAGGCUUUGAAACCGCCCUUCCUCAACCCCCAGGAGAGCCCCUGAAAUACUGGGUGAUGUGCAACUGAGGAAGGUUGGAGACGAAGUGGAAGCUGGUAAAGCCAUCCUGCUGAAUACCUUCCCCUCUCCCUUGGGCUGAUCACCCAGCAGGUGUUUGACCAGGGCAGCACCUAUGACCCUGAAGGGCUUGGCCGCAUUCUCCCUUCCUGGGAGAGCUUUGCCGCGGUGCUAGCGUCUAUUUGCAGAUUGGUCAUCCCACUUUGCAUCAGCACCCUGUUCUAUGAGCAGGGGCUACAAGUGGGUUUCGCCUGUGUGGGAACUGAUCACACGUGCUACUUGCUGAAAAGGUCAAGGCCCCCGUGUCUGAUCCACCUACUCCUGCGGCCACGGCCACGGCCACUGCAGCUGCUCCAGGCAAGGUUGGGACAGAACAAGAGCCCGAGGAGUCAGGAGGACCCCAGGACAGCAAGAAGGAAGAUGUGUGGCAUCAGAUGAUUCUAAAUUCCCUAGGACAUACCUACUGGAGCUGCUGCUGAAAUCAGAGUUCCAGAUGCUCCUGUUCCCACCAUUAUGGCCUCACAGUUGCCAGGCAGAUUAAGGCGACAGAUCUCUUCUGUUUCCACUGCACGGGUUAGAACUGAGCUACGUGGCCACCGCCACCAGCAACACACGUUGAGAAAUUCAGUCUUGACUUCGAAUGCCCCUGUUGGUGGUGGCAAUUGAAAAAGCUAUUAAGACGUAAUGCUGUAUUCAAAUAUAAGUAGCAAGAGCUGUGCUCCACCUCCACCUGCCCUAAUUUUUGAAGACUGUCUCAUGUUCAUCAUCUUCCAAACUUGUGAAAGAACAAAUGAGUAUUCACCAAAUCCUUGUAAAGGUUUCCUACGAGGCGCCUGCGUGGCCCAGGUGGUUGAGCAUCCGACUCCUGGCUUCGGCUCAGGUCAUGAUCUCAGCGUCGGGCUCUGCUCCGGGCGCAGGCUGCUCGGGAUCGUCUCUCUCCUCUCUUGCCCUCCCCCCCAAAAAACUAAGUGAGUAAAUACAAUCUUUCAAAAAAACAACAAAAACAAAAAAAAUAAAAAAUUUUCUUAUAAUCAAGAACAUAGGAGUUUAUAGCAGAAUCUCGGAAUCUUACACUUUUCACCUCAUGAAACCUCUGUCUACCAUACAACGUGAUAGAAAACCCCAAAUAUUCAUGCAAAUUGGACAU